UACGUAGGGUGCAAGCGUUGUCCGGAAUUAUUGGGCGUAAAGAGCUCGUAGGCGGUUUGUCGCGUCUGCUGUGAAAUCCGGAGGCUCAACCUCCGGCCUGCAGUGGGUACGGGCAGACUAGAGUGCGGUAGGGGAGAUUGGAAUUCCUGGUGUAGCGGUGAAAUGCGCAGAUAUCAGGAGGAACACCGGUGGCGAAGGCGGAUCUCUGGGCCAUUACUGACGCUGAGGAGCGAAAGCGUGGGGAGCGGACAGG
rnacentral:rRNA from 1 species